UUUUGCCUACGGGAGGCAGCAGUAGGUCCUAUUGCUCCCUUUGGGACCCCCUGAAGCAGCAACGCCGCGUGGAGGAUGAAGGUUUUCGGAUUGUAAACUCCUUUUGUUAGAGAAGAUAAUGACGGUAUCUAACGAAUAAGCACCGGCUAACUCCGUGCCAGCAGCCGCGGUAAUACGGAGGGUGCAAGCGUUACUCGGAAUCACUGGGCGUAAAGAGCGCGUAGGCGGGAUAGCAAGUCAGAUGUGAAAUCCUAUGGCUUAACCAUAGAACUGCAUUUGAAACUGUUAUUCUAGAGUAUGGGAGG
rnacentral:rRNA from 1 species